UACAGGGGGGGCAAGCGUUGUUCGGAAUUACUGGGCGUAAAGGGCGCGUAGGCGGCCUGCUAAGUUGGAUGUGAAAACUCUGGGCUCAACCCAGAGCCUGCAUUCAAUACUGACGGGCUAGAGUACUGGAGGGGAAAGCGGAAUUCCUGGUGUAGCGGUGAAAUGCGUAGAUAUCAGGAGGAACACCGGUGGCGAAGGCGGCUUUCUGGACAGUAACUGACGCUGAGGCGCGAAAGCUAGGGGAGCAAACAGG
rnacentral:rRNA from 1 species